rnacentral:rRNA from 1 species
UACGUAGGGUGCGAGCGUUGUCCGGAAUUACUGGGCGUAAAGAGCUCGUAGGUGGUCUGUCGCGUUGUCCGUGAAAACUCACAACUCAAUUGUGGGCGUGCGGGCGAUACGGGCAGACUGGAGUACUGCAGGGGAGACUGGAAUUCCUGGUGUAGCGGUGAAAUGCGCAGAUAUCAGGAGGAACACUGGUGGCGAAGGCGGGUCUCUGGGCCGAUACUGACGCUGAGGAGCGAAAGCAUGGGUAGCGAACAGG